AACGAACGCUGGCGGCGCGCCUAAUACAUGCAAGUCGAGCGAGAAGACGUAGCAAUACGUUUGUAAAGCGGCGAACGGGUGAGGAAUACAUGGGUAACCUACCCUCGAGUGGGGAAUAACUAGCCGAAAGGUUAGCUAAUACCGCGUACGCUCCUUGGACUUCGGUUCAGGGAGGAAAGCGAUACCGUGGGUAUCGCGCUCUUGGAUGGGCUCAUGUCCUAUCAGCUUGUUGGUGAGGUAACGGCUCACCAAGGCUUCGACGGGUAGCUGGUCUGAGAGGACGAUCAGCCACACUGGCACUGCGACACGGGCCAGACUCCUACGGGAGGCAGCAGUGGGGAAUCUUGCGCAAUGGGCGAAAGCCUGACGCAGCGACGCCGCGUGAGGGAUGACGGCCU
rnacentral:rRNA from 1 species